UUGCUUCAGCAGCUCAUAUAUUAAAAUUGAAACUAUCAGAGAAGAUGAGCGUGGCCCCUGGGCAAGGAUGACACAUAAAUUUGUGAAAAAAUGACUACAGAU